rnacentral:rRNA from 1 species
CACGUAGGGCGCAAGCGUUGUCCGGAAUUAUUGGGCGUAAAGAGCUCGUAGGCGGUCUGUUGCGUCCGCUGUGAAAACUCGGGGCUUAACCCCGAGCCUGCAGUGGAUACGGGCAGACUAGAGGUAGGUAGGGGAGAAUGGAAUUCCCGGUGUAGCGGUGAAAUGCGCAGAUAUCGGGAGGAACACCGGUGGCGAAGGCGGUUCUCUGGGCCUUGACCUGACGCUGAGGAGCGAAAGCGUGGGGAGCGAACAGG